UACGACCUACGGGGCGCAGCAGUAGGGAAUUUUCGUCAAUGGGCGCAAGCCUGAACGAGCAAUGCCGCGUGAAUGAGGAAGGUCUUCGGAUCGUAAAGUUCUGUUGAAGGGGAAAAAGAGCGGAGAGAGGAAAUGGUCUCCGAUUGAUAUUACCCUUCGAGGAAGUCACGGCUAACUACGUGCCAGCAGCCGCGGUAAUACGUAGGUGGCGAGCGUUAUCCGGAUUUAUUGGGUUUAAA
rnacentral:rRNA from 1 species